UACGUAGGGGGCAAGCGUUAUCCGGAUUUACUGGGUGUAAAGGGAGCGUAGACGGAAUGGCAAGUCAGAUGUGAAAGGCAGGGGCUCACCCCCGGAAGGGCAUUGGAAACUGGCGGACUCGAGUCCCGGAGAGGAGGGUGGAAUUCCUGGUGUAGCGGUGAAAUGCGUAGAUAUCAGGAGGAACACCGGUGGCGAAGGCGGCCCUCUGGACGGUGACUGACGCUGAGACGCGAAAGCGUGGGGAGCAAACAGG
rnacentral:rRNA from 1 species